rnacentral:rRNA from 1 species
UAGGAUUCCCUUAGUAGCGGCGAGCGAAACGGGAAUAGCCCAGCACUUAGCCCAUUAAUUUUUAUUAAUUAAAUGGGGAUGCAGUGUAAUGGAGAGUUCAUUAGCUCAUCUACAAUAGAUAGUAUAUUCAAGUCCAUCUUGAAUGGGGCCACUUAUCCCAUAGAGGGUGCCAGGCCCGUAGUUAAUUACUAUCUGUAGUUUGCGAACUUCUCUUAAGAGUCGUGUUGCUUGAUAGUGCAGCACUAAGUGGGUGGUAAACUCCAUCUAAGGCUAAAUAUAACCACGAGACCGAUAGAGAACAAGUACCGUGAGGGAAAGUUGAAAAGAACUCUGAAUAGAGAGUUAAAAAGUACGUGAAACCGUAUAGGGGUUAAGCCCGUUGAAUCUAAAUAUCCGAUAGAUGAAAUUCAAUAUUGUUUCUUUUAUUAAUUCUACUCUUUCAUCGAGAGUAGUUAAUAAUUUUAACAGUAUGCACUUUUCAUCUAGUAGGACACUGUAAUAUGUUAUAUUUGAACCUAUCAAUGGAAUUUAUAUAGAUUGUUUAUCAAUUAUAGUAUUCAUACUACUAUAUGAUAAAUCUAUGUUUAAAUUUCGAUAGUGUUUGACUGACAGAUUUAUAAUAAAAAAUCAUAUAACAUACAUUAUGUAAUUGAUUUUAUCAAUUUAUAUGUAUUUGAUUGCA